rnacentral:lncRNA from 1 species
CUUGCAUGAAGGGCAGAAACUCCUCUCUCCACUCCUCUGUCAUCUAUCACAGCUCCCAUCCCUUGGUGGCACUGCUGGCUCAGCCCUCCCUGCAGAGGGAUCUCCAGCAGUUUCUCCUCAAUCCUCACCAUUUCCUUGAAUGAGCUGCUUUCCAACUGAAGCUUCAUGCAGGAGGCUUCAUGAUAGCAUCCAGAGUACAUGUCCCAAGUAUGUCCAGCCCCAUCUUCUGAUCCUAGUGCAGAGCAGCUCCCGGUCUGAUGAUUAAGGUGUGCAUAUAGGAGAUGUGGGUUCGUAUUCCCUUGGACUUAGAUGCUGAAUCCAGAUCCCCUGUACUCUGCGUGUGUCUUCCAGCUUCUGAGUUGCUGGACAUAAAACCACAGAUUUCCACCAUUCUGCCCAUGAAGAUGACACAGAGAAGACAGAUGACAGUAGCUGUCCUCCUUCAAUACUGAGGAAAAGGCCACCUGUGGACCAGGCUGUGGGGGAAAAGCGGAAAGCAGAGAGAAGGGUUCGAUUUCGUGAGCCGGAAGAAGUCAUUGAGCAUGUUAUUUCCUGCUGUGACUACGUAGUGGUACAUGACAGGUCUUCACCUGGAUUGCCUAUGCUCCUGGGGCUAUCAUUUUGUGUGGUACUGAUCCUGGCUGCAAGUCUCUUCUACACCAGCAUGAAGCAAGAUACCAAAGUCCUGGAAGAGUUUCAAUCCCGACUUGUUAUCUUCUUUCUUCAGAUAAGACACAUUGCUCAUAGAUGCUGGACCUGGUUUACAAGGUAGUAGCAAUGUCCUCCAUUUGCAGGAAGGCAGCACUGAUAAUCACCACGUGUCAGAGAGAACCUCCCAGCCCCCUCAGUCCACACGUAAGGAACACGAGUAUCCACCUUGAAGAGCAAAAAAAGCCACCCAUUUUGUGCACUUUCUAACAUCUACUUGUUCUCUCUUUUUUUAAAUAUAUAUAUUUUUUAAUAUUUCUGAAUGAUAGUAGUAGCACUAAGAGGUCCCACCAAACUGAUGUUCCAUCACCCUUAGCAGCAAACAAGGGUAUGAGUUUAGUCCCCUGAAGAGACUAUAAACUGUUGCUAUAAGGAGCAGAGGCAGAGAGAGGAAUUCAUUGAUCUGUGCAUGCAGAAGUACAUUGAAUAGAAGUCUCCUGAGUCUCAGGUCAAAGAAUAAACACCAAACCAUUUUUCUCCUCAAGCCUCUUACGUGCUAUUCUGCAAAGUUUAACAUAAAGCUGAACUAUGGCACAAACACUGCUCCGCUGGCCAAAGGCUUGGCAAGCUGCUAUAUUUAUAUACUUGAAAUGAUUGCUAGUAAAAAUCUCAGCAAAUGGCUUUCUUGUUUCCCUUCAUGCAUUUUUUCCUCUGUGGGCAAAAGCUGUUCCUUAAUGUUUCACUUGACUCCCAGGUGUGAAAAAUAACGUGAGAACUCAUUUAAAUACUAAACAGUGCAUUUGCCUAACACAAUACAGGGCAGCAUUGAAUCCCAGGUUAAUUAUCAAAUCAGAACUUAAUCCUCUUGGUUUGAUUCAGUCCAUAAACCCAAGAUUUAUGGUUGUGUUUGUCUUCAGUCGAAGCUUUCACAUUUAUGCCUGCAUGUUCAAGGGUAUUAUAGACUGUUUACAAAGGUGUUGGGUCAAAGCCCUGUUAUCUCUGUUGUAGCACCAUACAGCGUACCUCUCUGGAGGGAACCAAGCAUAUGCAAUCUUAUGAGCUUCAGCUAUGCUUUGUUCUUAGAAUCACGUAAUUGCUCAGGUUGGAAAAGACCUUCAAGAUCAUGAAGUCAACCACAGACAGAAACAGCAUGAUCCAUUUUCCAGGCCCUACAUUCUUGUCGAGUAAUACUUGAUAUAUGCAUAAGGGUGACAGCAGAGCCCAUAGAAGCUGAAGAAAAGAAAGGAAACAGUGGAGAAGAGGAAAGAGAUGCCUGCAAGACCUUGGCUUUAACUCCUCUGCCACAGUAAUGCACCAGAAGGAAAAAAAAAAUUCCUAACCGACUUUCAAAAAAAGCAAGCUUGUCCAGGCUGCCCAAAAAUUUAAACCAGACAGAGGGUAAAAGAAAACCAAUUACAUAGCCUUCACCUAGAGCAGAGUGGGCAGCAAGUUGACCAAUAACGAGCACAAAAAUAUAUGUAUUUGUAGUCAGUAAGAACUGACUUGAGCAGCUAUUCUCAUGCUCUGAAGGCAACAGCAAUUGCACCUGGGGAGCUGCUGGUCUGGGACACACAGGGCACUGCAGGAGCGUUUGGCUCAGUGGCUCUUUAUGCAAACCACUCAUGCACCCCAGCCCUCAGGGUAAGUCCCCUGAGGCUUCCCUGCUCUCUCUCUCUCUCUCUCUCUCUCCACUCAGCCCACUGUUGGGAUAAUAAAGAAGAGGUUUUAAACUUAUGCUCUGGUGAAUCUAUGGUGGGAAGGUUUUUCCGGAAGAGUCAAUUCCUGCACUGCAAGUUGUGGUAUAUUGCAACAUAAAAAGGCAAAGCCUGACAGGAGCUGGAUCACUUAGAGGGAGAGCAGUACCACAAAUCCUUCCUGCGUGCUUCAAUGCAGUUUCAGUAACUUGAAAAGAAGCCAAGGGGUUAAAAUUAACCAGGAACUCCUUUUAGGACUGUGAGGGAUGAUAUGAAAUCCAUAUGCAUGUUAAUAUGCAUGGGGCCUCCUUCUUCUAGCCCUGCUCAAGGUGGAAAAUAGCCACGCUGACCUUGCUGUGCCCAGGUUUAUCAGUGUGAGAGGCCCACACUGAGAAUGGCUAUCACAUCCAGGUUGGCAAGGGAAAUAAAGCAGAGGAGCAGCUAUUCCUGGCUCUGGCUAGGACAGCUUUAGGCACAGGCAAUAGCAGCACUUGAGUUGUCUGCAGAUUCCCCAUGUUUUUGGGAGGCUUCCUGGGCUGGGAUUCUUUGCUGCGAUCAGUCAGGUAUUUGGCAAAAUGCAGAGAGCCAAAAGAAUGCAUUGUAGAGUACCAGCAGACAGCCUGAAACAAAUAAAAGCUAAAAUCUGUCCCUGGGAGAGCAGUGACCUUUUACAGCUGAAGAAUCUGCAGCUGAGAAAGCCAGUGCCUCUGUGCAAGUGAAUGAAGCAGGUCAAUAGCCAGGGUGGAAAUAGGAGUUAAAGUCCUGACCUCUAGGCCUGCCUUUAAUUACCAAUGCACAGCUCCACUGUAGACUUACCUGUUUUAUUUUCUCCUGGCACUGAAGCACUUGUCCCCUCAAACCAUUCUGCUUACACACAGCACCAUUCUCAUACUCUGUUCUUUAUCCAUCACACAUCUGUGCAUACUGCUGUGAGUCAGAGAGGAUUUCUCCUUGCUCUUGCUCAACACUGCUUUCUUAGGUGUGACACCUUGGUGAGUUUGGAGAAGAUGACCUCUGAAUUUAUACAGAAUGGGUUGUGUUGGUUACUGUUUCCCUUGCAGGCUGUGCUGGGUAAUAUUUUCCUCCAGUAUGACUCCCGAGAAUUGCUUUAUAAGGAGGAAAACAAACGGAGAGGGAUGUAAUAAUGAUAAUGUAAUAAAUGGUCAAACGUUCACAUGAAUUCACUGCGGUGCCAACAUGAAGACUAACUAAAACUCAGCUAUCUCUGAGCAAUUAUUUAGUCUAUCGUGGAAAUGUCAUUUUUUUUCAUCAAGUUGCAGAGAGGAGCGACAGACUCUUGCAGCAAGUUUUGAAGAAGGCUGCAAAUAAGUAGGCUUGCUAUGAGCACUGUCUGGAUUGGUAAGAAUCCAAGGGACAGAAGAGAGCAGAGAGUUCUGUGCACGAAAAGAGGCCUAAGGGCAGAAGUGCUCCUUACUAUCCUUUAUGCAAUGGGUGUUAAAUUCAUGCAUAGCAGGAAUCAGCAGAUCAUGGCAGUGUUGUUCUGACAAUGUGCAGUGCAUUCCUGCAGCAGAAACAGAGGGCAGCUGCCAGCACCCUCUUCAGGCAGGCUCACCCCAUCAGCACCACCUGAUUGCAUUAGCUGGCAUAGCCAUUCCCAUAUGAUUACAGGAUGUAGAAAAGCACACAGUGAGAUGACACUAGAUUUUUUGUGUGUUAACCUCUUAACACACUUUGCAUUCAUGUUUGCAGCUCCAAAGUCUGCUUCUAGUCCUGCUCUACUGCUUCACCUCUCCAGCACUGUGAGUCUGGAAACAAGUUAAGGAGCACAAGCAGUCUGUGGUAGCAAUUUUAGUUGUUUCUGCCUUUUACCACUUCAAAGCAAGCGGAAGGUUGGCAGCAUGUGACUACACAAAAAAAAGAAAAGCAUUGCAGCUACCCUAAAGAAAUAGCUCAGGAGCCUCCAAGAUUAUAGAGUGGACUCCUUUCUCACUAUUUCUUUCUCCACAGUGGCUGUUGGGAUUUAGUCUCACUCCUGGAGAGAAAGGCUGCUGCUACAGGAAGAAAAUUAGUCAGUUGACAAUUAGAAGAUUAACCUGCCCAUGCAACCUGUAAUAGCCCUUUACACUUGGUAACAAGCUGACCUUCAGCCACAUCCUGACACAGGAUCUUCUUCUCUUUGCCUUCUUUAGCAUUAGAGUUCACUGCUGGAAGAUGGUGAAAGGGCUCAGCUUAGGAGGUUGGUCACAUCCUUGACCAUAGGAGCUGCAGCAAGGAGAUUCCAAGGAAUGACUGCAUAAACCAGGAUUACACCAGUAACUCUGGUAACCAUUUUUUAACCAACAUAGUAAUAAUUUCAAUUCACCCUCAAAAAAAAAGGCACAGAAAUACUAACUUUUCAAAUAGUUUAUUUGUAUAUAUCAACAAAUCAUAAAAAGCCAAUGCACUGUCCAGCAAAAAGCAUCAAUAUAUAAAACACAUUUAAUCGUUAUCAGUAAUACUUGAGUAUACCACUUACACUGAGCCCAGUCCAGCUCCCUACUAAAGCCAAAGGAAACAUUGUCAAUGACUCCGUUAGCAGAAGGAUUGGACUUGCAAUUUCUAUUUGCCAGGUGUUUACAAAUGCUUGCAUUAAAAUACUAGUAUAAAGUUUCCCCUUUGAGACUGUAUCAAAACAACGAUAAGUUUAACUCCAAUUCUGUUUCUGUCAAAUGCAUGCAAUUAAUGCUCCAGAUCAGCACUCGUUACACUGCAGGAGAGCAUACAAAGCAUGAGAAAGAAUAUUCAAAACAGAGCAAGCUCUACCCUCAGCUUGUGUGGACUGGCAUGGCUCCAACGAGGCUUACAAAGCUAAGCUGCAUACACCAGCUAAAGAUCUGUCCCAAUCCUACUUUCAGCAGUUAAACAAAUUGUCAAAGUCUGGAGACCUCAAAAACAAAUUAUGAAACACUGAGUGGUCCAAGCUAAGGCUGAAACUGGCAUCAGCACUGCCAGCCCAGGCUCUGCCACACUGGACCCCUCACAUCACAGCCUGAAUGCUGAAGUCCCUCACAGGAAGAACACUAACAGUUCUCAUUAUCUAUUUUUAUUCUGACUUACGGCACUCUCCUACCCCCUUUUUGCUAUCCUUGUUCCUGAUAGGAAGAGAUGUGAGAAACAAGGCCUGAUUAGCCUGGUGGCAAUAAAACUCUGUAACGUUUCCAAGAGUGUUUUUAGAGAAGAAAGGAUUCAGGGGAAGGAGAUGUCAGUGGAACUGGAUUAUUUUUCUUUAUAAACCUGCAAAAAAAACCUUUUAGCAGUACACUUCAAAUCAUGAUAUAUUCAUUUCUCAAGAGAGCUGAAAAAGAGCGGUAGUUUUAUUCAGGGAGUAUUUGACAAAAAUCUCUAAUGGCACCAAUUUACUGUGGAUGUGAUCCCACUGCAGUCUUGUGGUCACCGACCAAAAGGGCGGUUUACAUCUCCUAAAAAACACUGGUUUGAGGAGACUGACAGCAGCUUUAGAAGCCAAAUGGUGACCACACCGAGCAGUGAGGAUUUAAAUCAUUGCAGCAGUCUAGAAAGUGGCAAUGGUUAAUUAACAUGAAGAUCCAGUGUGCUACAGGAGGAUGUGUGGUAUCUCAGACACAGACUGUUGCACUUUGCAGUGUUAACAGGAAAAAAGUAAUUCCUUCUGCUGUGGGACUGAGUGGGUGAAGAGCUCUGGACUGUGUUGUGUGGGAUACUAUGACAGAGUAUUUUCAAACAUCUCCCUGCUUUAGAAUCUAUGGAUUAACGUAUCACUCAUCUGAUUCCACCAGGUUGCUUAAGGGAAUCCUGGCAACCAACUUUGGGAAUCUUUUAGAGCAACGUGUCAGCCAAAUCAGGCCUGGUUUGUGUAAAAGGAAGAGUUUGGCACCAAACCUCAGGGAGUCCAAAUGAGAAUAGCAAAAAAAAACUGAAAUGCUUUUUAUUUCUCUAACAAAUGGCAAAGUUUGCCAUAGGAGCUGCAAUUUCUCUUACAUUCAUAAAUACUGUUCAGAAGCUGUACACAAACUGGAGUCAAACAUGCACAGACGUGGGGGGAAAGGAGGGGAAAAUAAGGACUUUCACCACAGGGUCAUAUAUCCACUUGUGUAAGAAAUCACUCAAGAGGGCAACAGCAAUGAUGAAUUUUCAUUCCUACCUCCUGGCAGGGCAUCUCCACCCUCUCUUUACACCAUAGACAUGUGGAAAGGAGGAACAAGAAUACCUCAGACUACAUUUCCACAAUAA